UACGAAGGGGGCUAGCGUUGUUCGGAAUCACUGGGCGUAAAGCGCACGUAGGCGGAUGUGCCAGUCAGGGGUGAAAUCCCGGAGCUCAACUCCGGAACUGCCUCUGAUACAGCACGUCUUGAGUUCGAGAGAGGUGGGUAGAAUUCCUAGUGUAGAGGUGAAAUUCGUAGAUAUUAGGAAGAACACCGGUGGCGAAGGCGGCCCACUGGCUCGAUACUGACGCUGAGACGCGAAAGCGUGGGGAGCAAACAGG
rnacentral:rRNA from 1 species